CUACGGGCGCUCCAGCGAGGAAUUUUGCGCAAUGGGGGAAACCCUGACGCAGCAACGCCGCGUGAGCGAAGAAGGCCCUCGGGUCGUAAAGCUCUGUCAAGUGGGAAAAAAGCCUUUUGGUUAAUAACCAAGAGGUGUGAUGGUACCACUGGAGGAAGCACCGGCUAACUCCGUGCCAGCAGCCGCGGUAAUACGGAGGGUGCAAGCGGUGUUCGGAAUUACUGGGCGUAAAGCGCGUGCAGGCGGUUUGGUAAGUCAGAUGUGAAAGCCCUGGGCUCAACCCGGGAAGUGCAUUUGAAACUGCCGUUCUUGAGUAUGGGAGAGGAGAGUGGAAUUCCCAGUGUAGAGGUGAAAUUCGUAGAUAUUGGGAGGAACACCCGUGGCGAAGGCGACUCUCUGGACCAAUACUGACGCUGAGACGCGAAAGCGUGGGGAGCAAACAGGAUUAGAUACCCCAGUAGUC
rnacentral:rRNA from 1 species